GAUGAAGAACGUAGUGAAAUGCGAUACUUGGUGUGAAUUGCAGAAUCCCGUGAACCAUCGAGUCUUUGAACGCAAGUUGCGCCCGAGGCCAUCAGGUUGAGGGCACGUCUGCCUGGGCGUCACAUAUCGUUGCCCAAUGCCUAUUGCAGUGCAAUAGGAAUUUCUAGGGCGAAUGAUGGCUUCCCGUGAGCGUUGUUGCCUCGCGGUUGGUUGAAAAUCGAGUCCUUGGUAGGGUGUGCCAUGGUAGAUGGUGGUCGAGUUAGAACGAUACCGAUCAUGUGCAUGCUCCCCAAAAUAUGGCCUCUAUGACCCACACGCGUCUUUUGACGCUCAUGACGAGACCUCAGGUCAGGCGGGGCUACCCGCUGAAUUUAAGCAUAUCAAUAAGCGGAGGA
rnacentral:misc_RNA from 1 species